rnacentral:rRNA from 1 species
UACGUAGGGACCAAGCGUUGUUCGGAUUUACUGGGCGUAAAGGGCGCGUAGGUGGCCCGGUAAGUCCGCUCUGAAAGUCAAAGGCUCAACCUUUGAAAGCGGGUGGAUACUGCCAGGCUAGAGUCCGGAAGAGGCGAGUGGAAUUCCUGGUGUAGCGGUGAAAUGCGCAGAUAUCAGGAGGAACACCAAUGGCGAAGGCAGCUCGCUGGGACGGUACUGACGCUGAGGCGCGAAAGCGUGGGGAGCAAACAGG